UGGGUUGUCUUGGCUGUAUUUGUGGGCAGUGUGCUGAUUUUAGUUAUUGGACCUGCUGUGUUAGCAUGGGAAGUUACUGGGGGGUUGUGGAAAAUUACAGCCGAUGGGUGUAAGAACAAAGCACGGGAACUGGUGGUUUGGCAACAGUAUCUUGUUAUAGUCGCGCGAAGCUUUCCUAACACGAAAGGCAUGUAGUUACAAGGACCUAAGAUAAGAUAUGCAUGCUUUCUUACUAACCUAUCAUGAGCUCAGCUUUUGUAAUAUGUAUGAGCUAAUUAGUUGGUAUACCAAUCAGUAUAAUCCACGAUAGUAGUUGUAAUGUAUGUAACAGUAUAAAAGGAUUGUGUAGAGAACAAUAAAGUGGACACUUUGCUUGCAUCAAGUUGCGUCCCCGUCUCUUCAUCGCGGCAAAUGGUGACCUCCGACGUGAUCUUCGGUGAAGACUCCGCCGGAGGCUGAUAAUCACCUAUCUGGUGGCGUGCUGCGAGUCCCGCAGAACUGGGAACGCUGCUACAAGGAGCAGGGAAAAGCCGGCUACUGAAGUCAUCACCCCCGUCUGGAACGAGAGAGAGAGGUCCUCGCUGGAUCCCGGCAAAGAACGUGAGACCCUUCCGAGAAACAUUGCAACGGCAGUCUUCUGAUAACGCUCCAGAACCUGCGUUCGAUGAGGAGAACGUUGCUCCCGAAUGAAUUCCGUCUCAGAAACAGAUAAGCGAGAGCUUCAAUGUCCAGACUGCGAAGUGUGCAAUUUCUGGAUCCUUAGAAUUUGUGCUGACUGCGAAAGACCACAGUGGGUAAAUAGGUGCCGCGUAAGACGGUGGUGUGACUAUUGUUUGCAGGAUUAUCAAGGGCUCUUACAGAGGCUAUCAGUGGAAACUGGAAUUGAGGGCGAUAGAACUCGCUCCUAUCUGUCAAAGAAUUUAACACGACCUCUGACAUUUUGUCAGGAUUAGCUCAAGAUGUAGAUAGCUUACGACAUGUAGUCUUACAGAAUCGUGCUGCCAUAGAUUUCCUUUUACUAGCCCACGGACAUGGAUGUCAAGAAUUUGAAGGAAUGUGUUGCAUGAAUCUAUCUGAUCACUCUGUGAGCAUUCAUAAACAGAUUGCAGAACUACGAGAAAGGAUUCACAAUGUGCAGGAAGGAAUGGAUGGACUCGAUGGGUGGCUAGCUUCUUGGGGAAUUACAGGGUGGAUAAAAGAUUUACUUAAACAGGGAAUUUUGAUCCUUUUAGUAAUUUGUGUAUUAUUACUAACGAUUCCAUGUAUUUUGCAGUGCUUACAAAAGUCGAUAACCGCUUCAGUAAAUAAGAUUUUUCUUGUACAAGCACAAGACCUCCCAAAAACUCCCAGUACAGAAAUGUUGGUGAAGCAAGACGUCCUCGAACUGGUUGGGCGCCGACCUUGGGAAGAAGUAAAUGUUUGAAAACAAAAAGGGGGAGAUGUGGGUUGUCUUGGCUGUAUUUGUGGGCAGUGUGCUGAUUUUAGUUAUUGGACCUGCUGUGUUAGCAUGGGAAGUUACUGGGGGGUUGUGGAAAAUUACAGCCGAUGGGUGUAAGAACAAAGCACGGGAACUGGUGGUUUGGCAACAGUAUCUUGUUAUAGUCGCGCGAAGCUUUCCUAACACGAAAGGCAUGUAGUUACAAGGACCUAAGAUAAGAUAUGCAUGCUUUCUUACUAACCUAUCAUGAGCUCAGCUUUUGUAAUAUGUAUGAGCUAAUUAGUUGGUAUACCAAUCAGUAUAAUCCACGAUAGUAGUUGUAAUGUAUGUAACAGUAUAAAAGGAUUGUGUAGAGAACAAUAAAGUGGACACUUUGCUUGCA